ACGGAGGAUCCGAGCGUUAUCCGGAUUUAUUGGGUUUAAAGGGUGCGUAGGUGGUUUUUUAAGUCAGCGGUGAAAGUUUGUGGCUCAACCAUAAAAUUGCCGUUGAAACUGGAAGACUUGAGUAUGUUUGAGGUAGGCGGAAUGCGUGGUGUAGCGGUGAAAUGCAUAGAUAUCACGCAGAACUCCAAUUGCGAAGGCAGCUUACUAAACCAUAACUGACACUGAAGCACGAAAGCGUGGGGAUCAAACAG
rnacentral:rRNA from 1 species